UUAAGUCCCGUAACGAGCGCAACCCUUGUCCUUAUUUGCCAUCAUUAAGUUGGGCACUCUAAGGAGACUGCCGGUGACAAACCGGAGGAAGUGGGGACGACGUCAAGUCAUCAUGGCCCUUACGACCAGGGCUACACACGUGCUACAAUGGAGCGUACAAAGGGUUGCGAAGCCGCGAGGUGGAGCUAAUCCCAUAAAACGUUUCGUAGUCCGGAUUGGAGUCUGCAACUCGACUCCAUGAAGUCGGAAUCGCUAGUAAUCGUGAAUCAGAAUGUCACGGUGAAUACGUUCCCGGGCCUU
rnacentral:rRNA from 1 species